UACGUAGGGGGCAAGCGUUGUCCGGAUUUACUGGGCGUAAAGAGCGUGUAGGCGGCCAAGCAGGUCCGUUGUGAAAACUGGAGGCUUAACCUCCAGACGUCGACGGAAACCGCGUGGCUAGAGUCCGGAAGAGGAGAGUGGAAUUCCUGGUGUAGCGGUGAAAUGCGCAGAUAUCAGGAAGAACACCAAUGGCGAAGGCAGCUCUCUGGGACGGUACUGACGCUAAGGCGCGAAAGCGUGGGGAGCGAACAGG
rnacentral:rRNA from 1 species